rnacentral:rRNA from 1 species
UACGUAGGGCGCAAGCGUUAUCCGGAAUUAUUGGGCGUAAAGAGCUCGUAGGCGGUUUGUCGCGUCGAAUGUGAAAACCCGGGGCUCAACCCCGGGCCUGCAUUCGAUACGGGCAGACUAGAGUUCGGUAGGGGAGUCUGGAAUUCCUGGUGUAGCGGUGAAAUGCGCAGAUAUCAGGAGGAACACCGGUGGCGAAGGCGGGACUCUGGGCCGAUACUGACGCUGAGGAGCGAAAGCGUGGGGAGCAAACAGG